rnacentral:rRNA from 1 species
UACGUAGGGGGCAAGCGUUGUCCGGAAUCAUUGGGCGUAAAGAGCGUGUAGGCGGCUCGGUAAGUCCGCUCUGAAAGCCCGGGGCUCAACCCCGGGAGGCGGGCGGAUACUGUCGGGCUAGAGUCCGGAAGAGGCGAGUGGAAUUCCUGGUGUAGCGGUGGAAUGCGCAGAUAUCAGGAGGAACACCGAUGGCGAAGGCAGCUCGCUGGGACGGUACUGACGCUGAGGCGCGAAAGCUAGGGGAGCAAACAGG